CCUGGUUGAUCCUGCCAGUAGUCAUAUGCUUGUCUCAAAGAUUAAGCCAUGCAUGUCUAAGUGCAUGCCAAAUUAAGGUGAAACCGCGAAUGGCUCAUUAAAUCAGUUAUGGUUCCUUAGAUCGUACCCACAUUUACUUGGAUAACUGUGGUAAUUCUAGAGCUAAUACAUGCAAACCAGAGUUCCGACCAGAGAUGGAAGGAACGCUUUUAUUAGAUCAAAACCAAUCGGUGGCGGGCUUUGCUCGUCCACCGUUUACUUUGGUGACUCUGAAUAACUUUGUGCUGAUCGCACGGUCUCGUACCGGCGACGCAUCUUUCAAAUGUCUGCCUUAUCAACUGUCGAUGGUAGGUUCUGCGCCUACCAUGGUUGUAACGGGGAACGGGGAAUCAGGGUUCGAUUCCGGAGAGGGAGCCUGAGAAACGGCUACCACAUCCAAGGAAGGCAGCAGGCGCGCAAAUUACCCACUCCCGGCACGGGGAGGUAGUGACGAAAAAUAACGAUACGGGACUCAUCCGAGGCCCCGUAAUCGGAAUGAGUACACUUUAAAUCCUUUAACGAGGAUCAAUUGGAGGGCAAGUCUGGUGCCAGCAGCCGCGGUAAUUCCAGCUCCAAUAGCGUAUAUUAAAGUUGUUGCGGUUAAAAAGCUCGUAGUUGAAUCUGUGUCGCACGCUGUCGGUUCGCCGCUCGCGGUGUUUAACUGACAUGCUCGUGAGACGUCCUACCGGUGGGCUUAGCUCCUUCGGGGGCGGUCCAACUAAUAUCCCAUCGCGGUGCUCUUUAUUGAGUGUCGAGGUGGGCCGGUACGUUUACUUUGAACAAAUUAGAGUGCUUAAAGCAGGCUAUCAUUUGCCUGAAUAUUCUGUGCAUGGAAUAAUGGAAUAGGACCUCGGUUCUAUUUUGUUGGUUUUAAGAAACCCGAGGUAAUGAUUAAUAGGGACAGAUGGGGGCAUUCGUAUUGCGACGUUAGAGGUGAAAUUCUUGGAUCGUCGCAA
rnacentral:rRNA from 1 species